rnacentral:rRNA from 1 species
UACGUAGGGGGCAAGCGUUUGUCCGGAAUCAUUGGGCGUAAAGCGCGCGUAGGCGGCCCGGUAAGUCCGCUGUAAAAGUCCAGGGCUCAACCCUGGAAAGCCGGUGGAUACUGCCGGGCUAGAGUCCGGAAGAGGCGAGUGGAAUUCCUGGUGUAGCGGUGGAAUGCGCAGAUAUCGAGAGGAACACCUGCGGCGAAGGCGGGUUGCUGGGCUGAUACUGACGCUGAGGCGCGAAAGCUAGGGGAGCGAACGGG